rnacentral:tRNA from 1 species
GCGAGAGUAGUCUAGUGGUUAUGAUGUCUGCUUUACAUCGAUUAAAUGUAUUGCGCAGAAGGUCGGGAGUUCGAUCCUCCCCUCUCGUA